GGCCAAGCGGCGUGCGGCUGAGGCGCUCACGUUCCGCGUGCCUUGGAAGCCGUUCCUGCUCAGCGACAUCCCCGAGGAGCCGCUGCUCUGGGUCUCGCCGUCUAGGAUGGCUCGGCCCCUCAAGCGCCAGGGGGACGCGGGGACCAUGGCGGAGCAAGCGACGCGGCGGUGGGGACGACAGACAGUAGCUGCAGGGCUGUAGCCGCGAGCCCGGAGAGCCACCUCCUGGCGAGUAGGAGGAACCCCGGGCCCGGGCGGCGGCGACAGCAUAGAAAGCGCGAUAGCCCGCAGAUACAAAUCCUAAGAGGAGAAAGACCAGCUGCUGUGACAACAGUUAAACACACAGAUGUGAGACGCCACAGAACACUAUCAAGAAAUGGAAGUCGUUGUGCUGAGGGGGCU
rnacentral:lncRNA from 1 species